rnacentral:lncRNA from 1 species
UCGGGCUCUUCUACGAUCCAGCUUCCGACGUUAGAGUAUCUCCGAUUCCCAAGUUUGUAGACACGGAGCAUCCAGCAGCCUACAACCCUUGCGUGUUUAGAGACUACCUGAAGAACCUCUACUCCAAGAACUUGGUGGGCAAGGAAUUGCUGGAAUCCCAAAGGAAAUAGCCUCGGAAGUGGAUGUUUUCAGGAGUGAGAGUUUGGCAGGUCAAGGUGAUUCUCAGCCUGAAAAGAUGUUUUAAGGUGGCUACUAGUGACCGAACUCCAAUCCAUGUAAUUGUCAUUCUUUUCCUCAUGCUUCAUGAUCUGCUGGAAUGUCAACAAUGUGCUAAUGAGCAUCAAAGACUCUUUCAAGUUCAUUUACUUAUAAUGAAGGUUAUUUGAUACUGAUAAAAGUAAAGGAUGUUAGAAAGCUUCUCUUUCCAUUUAAAAUUCAUGAAAAAGAAAAUGUAGUUCAAAGUUGAAAUUAAAUCUAAGGAAUUCAUAAUAUUUCAGUUAUGUUUUAAUAUUGAUUACAAUGUUUUGAUAUAUUUGGCAAUAGGCAAACAUGGCCUUCAUAUGGUAUUCAGGUCCUUGGAGAAUCCAGGUCUAGAACACUGAAGUGUUAUCAAAUGAAUUUUAGUGUACUUCCUAAAUUUUUUCCGUAAAAACAAGUUGUAAUGAGCAUUCACAAAUCAUUUUUAUAUAAUAAUAAUUAUUAUUAUUAUUUUCUUAAGCAAACACAGUACUGGAUAUAUCUAGAAUAUGCUUGAAUAUUUUGUAUAUACUCUUAAACUAUAAAGUGGAUAUUCUACUAUCGAAGACAGUUCUUAUUCAUUUAUAUUAAUCUUAAUUUAUAAAAUUUCCUAAACACUUUUUAGUAUAUUGGUUUUUGUCUUUUUAGUAUAUUGGUCUUUGUUUCUCAAACUAGUCUGAGAGCUUUCUCUCUGGCAAUCCAUCUUCAUCCUCUCGCCGUCCUUGGUGAGUGUUAGUGAAGAACUUCUUACGAACCUCGAAAGCACAUUGAACGUGGAAUAGUUAAUCUAGAAGCGUAAAAACUUUUCCGUGUAGUUUAGACGAACCUUAGCUGACUAGCGGUUUGAGAAAAGCUUUUUAUACACAUUUUGCAGAAGGGUAGCCGGUCAUCUGUGUUUUUCCAUUCAAUCGCUGUAAGCGUAGGCUACUAUGAUCCUGCUCGCUACCACUGAGGUCAUUUCCGUUUUGAGCAUAAGCCGCGACCAUGGCGUUCCAGGCCACCAGGAGCUGGCUAGAAGACAUGAAAGCAGCGUCAACCUGGUUGCGAGCUUAGCCCCAAGCAUCGAGCAAGCAGCGAGAGCUCCAGCGCAAGUCCGGUUUGAUCCCUGCGGAACUCAUCUCCCUGUAUAGCCGAAUCACUUCCGAGCUAGCUAAGCUGUCAGCAUCGCGUUCCAGCAGUUUGCGCUGGGAUGACUUGCCUGAAAACUUGGCACGUGAGAUCCAGCCUCCUCCGGCACCCUGCGGCAGCCUUCACAGCAGCGUCCGUGAAGACCUUAGAGUAUGACUAUACCUGUCUCCCCUAGGUGUCGCUGGCUUUCAAUCCGAAAUCCUCGUAGAGAUGUCGUUGGUCGAUCUGCCCGCCCUGGGCAUAUGCCGCGAUCAUCAAGUUCCCAUAUUCUGAUCGAGGCCUCUCGCAGCCUCACAGCGCGAAUACAUCUUCAACCCAACGUCCACAACUAUCCCGCUCUGGAAGUCGCCACUGGAAAUCCUGGCACCCAUGCCUAAUCAGCUCGAUCGCCUUGCGUUCUUGGUGGAAGACCUCGAUGGUGUCGUCAAUCUGGCCUAUCGCUGGGGCCCAUAAAAUAUUCUUUUAGUCUCCUCCGCGUUGCGCACUUUUCUGACCAAAUGGUCAAACGUUUAAUUUUAGAGCUCGAAGACUAUUUUCCUUUAGGAACUUUUCUCCCUUGAAUUCCCGUAGAACAGUGUCUGACUAAAAGACAGCUGCCAAUGAAAUAAUGGUGCCUGCGAGCCAAACAAUCUCAGUGGCGUUCAAGGAACAUGGACCUUUAUACUGCAGUGCUUUCAUCUGUUCCAAAUCCGCGAGCGCUUCCACUUGAGCCUCCAAACUCCUGCCCUCUCAUAGGGGUUUCUGUCUCUAGGCCCCAUCGACUAUAACAACGGACAAACAUGAAUGACAGUCCAAUACCACACUAGCAUGUCUUUUAAAUCCAAGAUGGGUUCAGACGAGAAAGUUCCGUCUCCUAGUCUGGUGUAAUCAGAUUCGUGCCUAAUUCUGUUUGUUUCGUCAAUGCUUGAUCAUGCUUGAUCGAUCUUGCUCGAUUGCCGAUGAGAGACUGGAAUGUAUUAGUUUUCUGCAACAAUGUAUUGAUUUAGCAUGAUGCAGAAAUUAAUAUUCAAAUGCCAAACACCUUUUCAAUGUCGUGAGCCUCCAGCUUUUACAAAUUAGAGAUAUCACUCUUAAGCUGCUUGGGCAACGAUUUAUGAUGCGAGCGCGUUGCUGCCAGUUUCGGUAAACACUUGGUUGAUCUUCUGAUCUGUAUGCGUGCACCUGUUAAGAAAAAAAGAACCAAGUUAGAUGCGUAAAAAUAUUUUUAAAAAACCAUCUCCAUUUUCACAAUUGUCAUGGACUUGAGCUUUAACCGUCUGUGGUCAUUGUCAUUGUCAAACCACCUGACUUGGUCACAUGGAAAUUUUCGAUGGUCAAACUGUAGCAUGAAACAAACAAGGUGCUAACCUUCUACAGUGCUGCAACGAAUAAAAAUUGUGGCGACGUGGGGGUCCAGCAAAUUUUAUAUCCUUCCAAUCGUCUAUACCUGUCCGAAUGCUUUGUGUCAAACCUCAACUUCUUGAGGAGAAGAACCACAUCCGAAUAAGUUGCUCUAGCUCGCUCAUGAUUUCCACAAAGAUAUUGUCAGUAUCAAUUCCAAACUGCAAACAAAGUUUAAGUUUCCAGAGAGAUAGAUAGACAUUUUUAUAGUCACCACAGCGCCCGGGACUCUACUACCUCUAUGACUAUUUCUUACUCUCCUUCUCCUCCAUCCAAAACGUUGGACACAGUGAUCAAGCAAUGUAUGGCAAGAAGAAUCUCGGUGGGAACCAGUCCUCCAAGUUUUCGGGUCCUCAAGGUGUCCUUCUAAAGGUGUGCAUUUUUUUUCUAUGCCAUCUUGUUGUCCGUAUACAUGCUCUCUUUCAUCUUCUCUCCAGUUCCAGCCAGUGUUUAUUUAGUCGUCUCUGCGGCUUGUUUCGUCUUGUCUCUCAUCUACAAGAUUCGUCUCAACACCACAUCUUUGAUUCCAGAGUUUUUAUUUACCUGCUGGAGCGUAUUUCCUGAGCAGUGCCUUUCAUGUCCUGCAGAGUCUCCGAAUGAAACGAAGAAGGAGAAUAAACAGAACCUCUUUCUUCUGAUUGGCGUGGAGAGGUUUCUAAGCAUGGAUUUCUUCUUGGUUCCACUGCUGGUUAUUUAAAACUAAUUACCUUUUAUGAUAUAUAUAAAUUAAGCCUCCUUUUGCGAGUAUAAAAGAUCACAAAGAACUACUAGGCCUUUUUCAUUCUUCCAGUCAGUAAAAGGGCAAUAGAGUACAAUUGUCAAAGAGAUUGUUGAAAAAGCACAAGAGGCAUGCCGAAAACAAUAAACUCAAACAUCAUUAGUUUAACAUGAAGCAUAAGAACUAUGAGUCUUCAUUCACACUUUUUGACUUGGAGGCAAGCUUGGAUACUUUGUAUAAAAAACAAUAAAGCACCCCAAGAGGAGGCUUCUUAAAUGGAUGGUCCAUAUAUUAUACUAUAAUAAUUAGUGUAUCAUAUAUAUGUAUAUAUAUGUAUAUGUAUAUUGUAUUUAUAUAUUUUAUAUUUUUAUUAAAAACUGAGUAAAUUUUAAAAUUAUUAUAUUUAUAUAUUAUUACAAAUUUUUAUGUUAUAAAUUAUUUAAUAUUUAAAUUAAACAAAACAUUAAAAAAAUUACUAUUAAUUUUUUAUAGAAAUAGUUAAUAGUUUACAACUGAUUGUAGUUCACUUAUAAACUUUAUGAAAUACAACUAUUAAAAAAUUAUUUCAAUUUUAAUUUAUUAUAACUCUGCUAAUUUUUAAUUUUAUAAUAAGUUAUAAACUAUAACUUAUAACUAUAACGUAGUAUUACUGUUUUAUUUUACAAAUAUUUCAUCAAUCAACUAUACCAAAAAAAUAUUUAUUGUGAGGGCCAAGUGUACGGCUACGAUGCCGUAUACUAAUAUUAGCGUAGUGGGAUUUUGGUAGCCGUCGGAUUGGUUUCAAUCCGGACCACUCGCUCCUGUAUAUAAACUAGAGUUUUUGGGUUAAUUAAUAUGCACAUUUCUAUAUUCCCUUUCCAUAUUCCAUGCACUCACAUUGGUGGAGGUGAGAGGCACCUUUGAUUAUCCCUGGGGAGUGCUUGGAUUUGGGAUUUCAGUUUAGAUCUAGUUUUUCCCAUUUCCUUUCUUUUGUUCUUUCCUUUCAGGAUUUUGGUUUAAAUCUAACUUUUUGCAUUGUCUAGAUCUACCAUUUCUUUCCAGCCUUUUGUCAUUUCUCUUCUUUUGCUCUUUCUUUUUCAUUCAUCUUCAUGGCCGAUCCGCAAUCUCCUCCUUUGACUCUAGAGCAGCAGUUGGUUCAAUUGCUUGAUGUUAUGCGCUUGCAAUUGAACAACCAAACUCAGUUGAUGGCGGCGUUCAUGGCACAUGGUACAACUCCUCCUGCUUUUGGUGCCAAUCCUCGCGUUCGGCCGGAGUUCUUUCGUGGGAAUCCUGGGGAUGAUGUGUACCAUUGGUUUGAUCACUUCACGGUGAUUGCCACAUAUCAUUCUUGGGAUGAUGCUCGACGUUUGCGUGAGUUCCCCAUAUGUCUCCAAGGGACGGCUUUGCAGUGGUACAAUGGAUUGAGCGCAGCCACUCGUGGCGAUUGGAGUGUUCUUCCGGAUGUCUUCAAACGCACCUUCGGCCACGUCGAUGAUUGUGAUGAUGCCUUCCAACAAUUGCAUUGUCUUCGCCAAGGGCCAUCUGAGUCGGUGAUGCAAUUUAGCAUUCGUUUCCGAAGACUUUUGCUUCGUGCGGAGCCAAAUAUGUCGGAGCGGAUCAAGCUAGGAAUGUUGUGGCUAACACUUCGUCAAGAUCUUGUCGGACUUGUGCAUGCACUUGCUCCUGCCACUCUUGACGAUGCUCUUCGCUUGGCACAAUGUUAUGAGACGUCGCCUCUUCCACUUCUUGCUACACGUCCUUCAGCUCCACUUCCUAUGAGUGAUGGUCCUGUUCCCAUGGAAGUUGAUGCUGCUGCUACUCGAGUCCAAGGACAAGGGCAAGGACGUGGUCGUGGCCGUGAUAUUCGUUGCUGGGCGUGUGAUGAAGUUGGUCAUACUUAUCGGCGUUAUCGGCGCUUUCCGGAUUGGCGACCUCCAUUUCUUGGGUGGAGACCUUGGCGUUAGCAACGUCCCAUUGGUGCUGCUGCGGUGGAAGGUUUGGAUACCGAGGUGCAUUCGGGAAACGAGGAGUUGCGCGAGUAAUGGAGGGACCUUGCACGAAUAAAUUAGUGACCCCUCCAUCUUUCUUUCGGGAGUAUCAUCAAGGGGUUCACUCAGCACCGGUUCAUCCAGUGUUUACUUUCCAAGCUCGUUUUUAUAACAAGAGGUCUCCUAUUCUUCUCUCCGUGUUGGUUGAUACAGGUUUGAGUUUAUCUUCUAUUGCUCGACUUGUUGCCACACGUUGUCAUCUACACUUGCGUCAUGCGGCGGAUCCAGUUUUCAUUCUUUAUGGCAACGGCCGUACACAUGCAUGUGCACGAGAUGAGGCGGACCUGGUUGUGCGUGUGGGCGAUCUCGAGCUUGAGUUGCAGUCGUUGCGGGUGGUGCCGAGUCAAGCUUUUGACCUCAUUCUUGGUAUGGAUUGGUUGCAGCGCAAUCAUGCCAAGUGUGACUUUGAGGCUUCUCCCCCUUGUCUUAUACUUCUUUAUGUUUCAUCCAUUCCUCUCACCUCUUCGUCCCUUUACUUCUACCUUUGCUUCCAUUACUUUUGUUCCCCCACUGUUUCCUCUUGUGUUUCCAUCUUGUUCUACUCUUCCCUUUUCUGAUCCCUCUGAUGAUCUUUGUGUUGCAGCUGUUGACCAGCUCAUGAAGGAGUAUUCUGAUCUCUUUGAAUUUGACCUAUCGUCUGGGGCCAAGACUGCCACACGUCAUCCCAUUCCAACCGGGGAUGCUCGUCCAAUCAAGGUUCCUGUUCGUCGUCGGUCACCCAAGGAGAUCAAGAUUUUACGUGCAAACGUCAAGGAGAUGUUGGAGAAGGGUGUUAUUUGGAAGUCGUGGAGUCCUUGGGCAUGUGAACCUCAUCUUGUGACGAAGCCUGAUGGGAGUAUUCGUUUCUGCAUUGACUAUCGUCCGUUAAAUGAAGUGAUGAUCCCGAACGUGUACCCUCUUCCUCACACUGCUGAUCUCUUGGAUCGUUUGGGGCGAAGUCGUUGGUUCACCAAGCUAGAUCUUGCUUCUGGGUAUUGGCAAGUACCGAUGGCCGAAGACGAUAUUCCUAAGACUGCUUUUCGUACACCAUUUGGUUUGUACGAGUUUUUGGUGAUGCCGUUUGGUUUAAACAAUGCUCCAGCAACUUUUCAACGGAUGAUGGACGAGGUUCUUUGCGAUAUGCCGGAGGUGACGUCUGACUUCAUUGAUGAUGUUUUGAUCCACUCGGAGGGGACAUGGGAGGAGCACGUUCGUGAUGUUUGUAAAGUGUUGGAUCGGCUACGCGACGUUAGUUUAAAGCUGAAGCGGUCAAAGUGCGUGUUUGGGUCCAAGGACACAACUUAUCUUGGGUACCGUAUUUUUCGUGAGGGUUUGCAAGUUGAUCCUGACAAACUUGUGGCUGUUCUAAAGUUCCCUAGUCCGAAGUGUGUGAAUGAUGUGCAGCGCUUUUUGGGUAAGGUGCAGUAUCUUGGUCGUUUUGUGGAUCAUCUUUCCGAUCGCACUACACCAUUGCGAGCGUUGCUGAAGUCAUCAACGUCAUCUUUCAUCUGGUCCAGAGCGGAUUCUUUCGGAUAAUGGUCCCGCAUUUAUGGCUGAGGUAUUUCAUGUUUUGACAUCUCAGUUGGGGAUACGCCACACUUUUACGAGUGUUUAUCAUCCACAAUCAGACGGUUUGGUGGAACGGCUCGUUUGGACAUUCAAAGGGAUGAUUGCGAAGUAUGUGAGCUUUCAGCAUUCGGAUUGGGAUAGUUAUUUGCCGUCUCUUUGGUAUGCCUAUGUCACAGGGGUGCAGUUCUGUUGGUGCUUCACCAUAUAAACUUCUAUAUGGUCAUGAUCCAAUAUUACCAACAGAGCUGGGUUUACCUUUGCGAUUGCCACGAGCUCCUGAUACUAGGUCAUGGGAUCAAUAUUUGACAAGCAUUCUUCCACUUGUCCGAGCAGAGUUUGCUGAACACUUAGGCCGCGUACAAGUGGGACAACAACGGCGCUACAAUUCCCAUCAUCGUCCACCUGCGGAGUACAAAGUGGAUGAUUUGGUGUUAGUUCGUUUUCCCCAUCUUGCGGUACGUGGUUUAUCUAAGGGGCUCCUUGCGCAGUGGAAAGGACCGUAUCGGGUGUUACGGCAAGUUGGACCACAAGUUUAUGAGGUUCGGCAUGACGUUCAGCAGGCCGAUCCUCUGGAGAUUGUGCAUGUGCAGCGGUUAAAACGCUUCAUACAAAGGGAUCAAGAGUAGGUAAUACCGUCUACAGAUCCACCAAUGCCUCCUCCUGACGUUCCUCCAGAUCCCGGCCCAUCUACAAGAGAACCCUGACGGCCUUCCAUUAUUCCGAGAGGAGGGGAUGAUGUGAGGGCCAAGUGUAUGGCUACGAUGCCGUAUACUAAUAUUAGCGUAGUGGGAUUUUGGUAGCCGUCGGAUUGGUUUCAAUCCGGACCACUCGCUCCUGUAUAUAAGCUAGGGUUUUUGGGCUAAUUAAUAUGCACAUUUCUAUAUUCCCUUUUCAUAUUCCAUGCACUCACACUGUUAAAUAAAAAUGUAUUCUUUGAUGUUUAACUUGUAAAUUAAUAGUGAAAACACUAAAACUUUAUAGAUAUAUAGAUUGGUAUAAUUGUGUUUAUAAUAUAUAUAUAUAUAUAUAAAUAAAUCAAAAUAAAAAGACUCUUUAUAUAUUAAAAUUUUAAUGAUUAGCUUUUAAUUUUUAGGAACUACAUCUCAGAUUUAGUUUCAAAAUAUUUAACAUUUUAAAUAAUUCUAAAUUCAAGACAAGAAUUGUUUUAAGAACCAUCUUGGUAGUAAUAAUAAAAAUAUAAGCUUCAUAUAUAUAAAUAAAGAGCUUGGCCAAAAAGUCAAUGAAGGUAAAAAAAAACACACGUUUAAAUAAGAUAAUUAAAUGGAUUAUAAUACUUAGUUUUUGUAAAAAGAGUUUAGUAGUACCAACUCAUAUUAUUAUUUAUUUAAAUAGCAUUAAUUUGUGAGUCAUGUUUUCACAAUUAUUUGUAUUUUUUAAAAUAACAAUGAGGUAAUGAGCUGCAAGGAUGGAGUCUCAUAAGAUGGCAUAGAUCCCAUCUUGGUGUCCAAUUGUUGAGGAUGUAAUAAAUAAAUCAUGAAGAAUUAAAGGCAUAGCUUGAUAAAAUCUCAAAUAAUUUUUACUUAAUGCAAAGUUAGGAUUCAUUUAGCUGUGUUUAGUUGUGUCAAUGCAAUGCUGGUCUGUUGCAGGGCAUUUCUAAUUGUAACAUUGAGAGGCAUGGAUGGUAUUUUAAUGCUUGAUAGAAAUUGAUUUUUAUCUGGAUUUUACUUCUUUUUUUUUUUUUUAAGUAUAUGUGGUAUCAAAUAAAUCGUCGAUGUGCAGCCAUAGAGCUCAAGCAGAACCAACCAGACAUAGCACUUCCUUCAAUCAUUAUAUUCGUUUACAUUGGGAAGAAUGCGAAUGUUUUUACUUAAGACCUUGUGCUCCGACUGAAGAAUCAACAAGGACGAUCUGGUAAAAGAAAAAAACAAGCCUGUAACUCAUAUCCUUUCAAAGAAACUCCAUCAACCUUUGGGGACGUGAUCGGCUCUAAUUGCGAUCCUCCUCGAGCUUCAAGGUCUCGUCGGUCGCGUAAACCAUGCAAGCCUGGGACAACACAGCCUGGAGUGAAAAUUUUGCGAAAGACAGUUAAGAAGCAAACCUUGACAUAGUUUGCAUUUGGAAGGCUUGUACUGAUCUCUUCGACAUCGAGAUCUUCGAACGGGUUCUUGACGAGCUGGCUUCCAAACACCGUCUCGUCACAAUCGACCCAUUCGUCCUCGACGUCCGAGAUCACAUCCGGAUCCACUGCCACAGAGAAUUUGAAUGGAUCGAAGCUUUGAAAUAUUUCGAGAUCGACCCUACCAUUCUCUUCGCAGGUUUCCUCCAGAUCUCUCCUCAGUGCGUCCUUGAGACCUUGAUCCAGCGGGCAAUCGAGCCUGUGAAAAGAAAAAAAGAAGCACUGAUCGAGCGGCUUCUUACCAUUUCCGCAUCCAGGACUUGGAAUUCUUGCGGCGAUCUUCAUCACCUUGGUCGGAGUCGGAAUCUUCGCGGCGAUCGAUCGAAGAGCUCGCCGGCCUAGCUUCGCUGCUCUCCCGCUCCAGCCAUAUUCCAAAAUAUUUAGGGCAGAGACGUAAUCUCUCCCGCCCAUUUGUAAGGACUUUCAAUCGAAGCCGUCCAUUUGAUUUUCACUUAAGAAGCAUCUUGAUAGAUUCUCUUUUAUUUUAAAUUGCGUGGCUAUGGCCGCUGGAUGGAACAAGCUAGACGGUGCCAAGGCGCUCGUCGAUAGCGGCAUAGACAGGGUCCCAGAUUUCUAUGUCAAGCCCCUCGAUCAGAGGCUCUCUCCUCAAGAUCUGGCGCUCCACGCCGACGAAAUCCCGGUGAUCGAUGUCUCCCCGCUGCUGGAUUCCAAGCCUACUUCAUCCGAUCGCAGCAAGGAGGACGUAAUCGCCGAGCUGCUGGAUGCGAGCGAGAGAUGGGGCUUCUUCCAGGUAAGAAACUGUGCCGCGUAUGGAAUCGUCUCAAGGAACUGGAUCUAGGUUAUCAAUCACGGCAUCGGCAGUGAUCUCACGCGGCGGAUGCUCGCCGUGGCUCACGAAUUCUUCCAGCUGCCGCUCGCGGAGAAGAUGGUCUCCUAUAGUACGGACAUAGACGCCGCCGUGAGGUACGGCACGAGCGUCAAUCCGCUCAAGGAGGUGUUUCUAGACUGGCAAGACAAUCUUUUGCAUCGAUUUCUACCGGAGCGCCAGGAUCAGCCACAUCCAUGGCCGACCAAACCAAGCUCUUACGAGUAAGUCUAAGUGCUAGACUUGGUUCAUCCAAUUCUCUUGCCUGGUUUUCUCUAAGUUUUCAUGGAUCGUCCAGGUUGAUUGCUGGGGAAUUUGUGGAUCAAGCCAAGUUUCUGGCCCGCCAUCUCCUGCGAGCAUUGUCUGAGGGUCUCGGCUUAGGCCCGGACUAUUUGGAGGGGGAGUUUGGUGAGCACAACGUGGCGCUGCGGCUUAAUUAUUAUCCUCCUUGCCCGAGUCCUGAGCUUGCAAUUGGACUGCGUAGUCACUCCGAUGUUGGUGGUCUCACGAUUCUCUUGCAGGACAGUGAUAUCGUCGGACUCCAAGUGAAGGUCCAGGAGAAGUGGAAGACGGUCAGGUCGGUUCCUGGUGCUCUUGUUAUCAACAUUGGCGACCAGCUUCAGGCAAGCUAGCAAAUAACUUGUAGAAUGGUUGAUAUGUGUGCUUUUCGUCUUUUGGGACAGAUUUAUAGCAAUGGGAAGCUCAAGAGCGUCGAGCACAGAGCGAUCGUAAAUGCCGAUAAAGCUCGGGUAUCAGUCGGGCUCUUCUACGAUCCAGCUUCCGACGUUAGAGUAUCUCCGAUUCCCAAGUUUGUAGACACGGAGCAUCCAGCAGCCUACAACCCUUGCGUGUUUAGAGACUACCUAAAGAACCUCUACUCCAAGAACUUGGUGGGCAAGGAAUUGCUGGAAUCCCAAAGGAAAUAGCCUUGGAAGUGGAUGUUUUCAGGAGUGAGAGUUUGCCAGGUCAAGGUGAUUCUCAGCCUGAAA